UACGUAGGGUGCGAGCGUUGUCCGGAAUUAUUUGGGGCGUAAAGGGCUCGUAGGCGGUUUUGUCGCGUCGGGAGUGAAAUCCACUGGCUUAACUGGUGGCUUGCUUUCGAUACGGGCAGACUGGAGGUAUGCAGGGGAGAACGAAUUCCUGGUGUAGCGGUGAAAAUGCGCAGAUAUCAGGAGGAACACCGGUGGCGAAGGCGGGGUCUCUGGGGCCAUAUUGACGCUGAGGAGCGAAAAGCGUGGGGGGAGCAAAACAGGGAUUAGAAA
rnacentral:rRNA from 1 species